UUCCUGGUGGUCCAGUGGCUAGGACUCUAUGCUCCCAAUGAAGGAGACCCAGGUUUGAUCCCUGAUCAGGGAA
rnacentral:tRNA from 1 species